rnacentral:rRNA from 1 species
CUGGUUGAUCCUGCCAGCAGUCAUAUGCUUGUCUCAAAGAUUAAGCCAUGCAUGUCUAAGAAUAAACCCUUGAACGGUGAAUCUGCGAAUGGCUCAUUAAAUCAGUUAUUGUUUAUUUGAUGGUACCUUACUACUUGGAUAACCGUAGUAAUUCUAGAGCUAAUACAUGCGCCAAGCCCUGACUUCGGAAAGGGUGCAUUUAUUAGAUUCAAACCAUCGGUCCGUCUGGGCAACUGGGCGUGGCCUUUGAUGGUGAGUCAUAAUAGCUUAGCGAAUCGAAUGGCCUUGAGCCGUCGAUGCUUCAUUCAAAUUUCUGCCCUAUCAGCUUUCGAUGGUAGGAUCUUGGCCUACCAUGGCUAUAACGGGUAACGGGGAAUUAGGGUUCGAUUCCGGAGAGGGAGCUUGAGAAACGGCUACCACAUCCAAGGAUGGCAGCAGGCGCGCAAAUUACUCAAUCCCGACACGGGGAGGUAGCGACAAUAAAUAACGAUGCUGGAUUAUUCUUAAUCCGGCAAUUGGAAUGAGAGUGAAUUAAAUCUCCACUCGAGGAACCAUUGGAGGGCAAGUCUGGU